GCUGAAGAAAGACCAGCACGCCACUGAUGAGAAGUACAACUUUGAAGUGCUUCAACAACACACCGCACUGCAAAAACAGAGACUCAUCGUGCUCACGGCAGUCAGCGAGAACGUUCUUAUGGAGAACCUUGAGAUCUUAAAAAAUAAUGGCUUUGAUUUCCUCAGAUGCGGAUGCUCAGGUGAUGGAGCGGGUGAAGCUUGUGUCCCUGCCCACAAGUAAGAACUGGACAUUUGGUCUGAGGGACCUCGAGGAGCUCAUCUUCAUGUUGAUUGACAGCCCGGGGG